UCUCUCUUCCUCUCUUACCUACUUCUUCUUAUUUUUUUCCUUUCUCUUUCUCUUACCACCACACAAAUAUUAGGUAGUAACAUAAAAUAUCUCAAUUGAUAUUUUAUCUUCCAGUACCAAUUGACCAAUUAUUAAUGUUACCAAAAAUGUCCUUUCUUGUACUUAUUAAUAUUGGUAUGUCUCUUUAUUAAUAGUUAAUCUCUUCAAAG
rnacentral:lncRNA from 1 species